rnacentral:piRNA from 1 species
UACAUGGUGUUUUGGGUAAGAAAAGGCCCGA